AUUGCUUUCAUUCAGCAAGGCAAAAAGGCUUUGAGCAGUCCCACAAUUGCCUUAGUCUCAUUUAUUUGUGGUAGUAUUAAGGUUUAUUUGUUUUCUGGUUUGCACUUCUUCUGAAAUUAUUUCUUAGUUUAUUCAUUUAACAAAAUGUUCCUUCCUAUGUCACAGAAGAAAGUGCCUACAAGGCCUAGAUAGGUUCUUCAGUCUGCAGACCUCCCUUUGAGAACAUUUCUUCCAACUCACAUUGCUGGAGCUGCUAAAUAUCUUUCAAGGACUUCUCCAUUCUUUGAAGCUCAAGAAAUUAAUCACCACUGUUUUUUUGGGUGGAUCAGACUCUUCACAGCAGGAUUUAUGUGUCAGUCAUUCCAGAAAUAUGAAGAUGAGUUGUCUGCAAGAAUAAAAUCUGGAGUACACUAACGUUAUCUCUCUAGACUUGAUUUUUUCCUUUAAUGUUCAAGAUACUCCUUUAAAAGAAUGGGUAAAGAUCUCAAAACUAGAAGACUGAACAUCACCGCUGUAGAAGUUGAAAGGUACAGAAUAUGAACAACCAUUUCAGCUGGUCUAAAUCUUGUUCAUGAGUUCCUCUGAUUUAUCCUUCCAUUGGCCCUUCUAGGAAAGUACCUUUUUUUCCCUUUUGCCCCCUGUCUUCUAUAUUUCAUUUC
rnacentral:lncRNA from 1 species